CUUUUUCUCUUAACAUCAAGCUUAUUCACUUAUUUUUUCUUCUGUGUCUGACAGGUACUAAGGAAAAGAGAAAAUGGAGGAGGGCAAUUACCAAAACAAGAAAUCAUCUAAUAAAACAUGAUCCACAGAACAGGAAGCCUGAUUUCUCUUGUCAAGUCACUAAACAGGCAAGAGCCUUCUCAGAUAUGUCCUGAACACCUUCUCUUUGCCUGACAAGUUCUUUAGGUAGCACAGUUGGAGCAUGGACACUCGAGCUCUCUGGAAUGUCCUGUGAUUGAGGUUUUGUCUACACUGCCCAGCAGGAGAAACUAAUCAGGGAAGCUGCUGGUUCGCCUGACCACACUGGUUAACGACGGUCUCCACAGAGCCUCCUUGGAAACUGAAGAUGAAAUAUCACACGAUUUCAUGUGAAAUUGCACUUUUAAUCAAAGCAAAAGGGAAAAAUACUCUACAGUUCAUCUCAUAGUUGUGCCACAAUGGAAAUUUCUACCAAAGUCUUUUACCAUUCUUCAUUUUUUUUUUACUCAUAUAGAAAUUUUCUCUCUUAAAAUUUAGUUUCAUAAUAUUAAAGUUAUACAUGAGUUACAAAAUGUUAAUGGGGCUUCUCCUAGUCUCAUUUGAGAUCCCAAAGUUAAUGGCAAUAGAUGAUAAAACCCCACAUCUUAAUGAGAGGAUAGGCCAUAUAUAUAUAUAGAGAGAGAGAGAGAGAAAGAGAGAGAGAGAGAAUUUCUAGGAGGUAGUCAAAAACCAUAUAUUGUGACCUUAACACCAUCAUCUACCUCCAGCCCAGAUACAAGAGGGCUGUAGAUAACAAGAGGUCAUUUCUAAAAUAGAGUUGACCGUCUAAUGUGAAUGUUCUAGCACUGCUCCUUUAUUUCCUCGUUCUUCUCUGUCUCAAAUCAUGUAGAAGGGUUCCAUAUCACCAUGGGAAUGGAACAUGAUGAAAGAAUUCUUGGGGGAAACUGACCUGUGUCACCUGGAGUUUGAGAAGCCAUGUAUUUGGAGAGCAGUAGCAUUUGGCAUCAUAUUUACCCAAAUCAAAACAAAGGCAUAAUCUUGGACUGCAAAGGAUGUAAUGUAACCCAAGAGGAUGGAAAAGAUAAAUUACUAAGAGAAGGGUUCUGAUCCAAUUAAAAUUCAAAGUGAAAUAUAUUUGAUGGAUUUAACUCAGUUGGAGCAGAUUAGACAGAUUCCAUUUUCUACAUGCCAGUAAUGCUUAGGGAAGGACUAAGGAAUGGAAGAGGAGAUCAAAUGCACAGCCUCCUUAUGAACACACCUGUGCACAGCACGCAUAAUGUACACAUAAUAGUCAGCAUAUCUUUCCUCUUGAGGUUUAGAUUGUCGAAAGGAGGUUAACGCAAUUUACAAUGGGGUUGUAUUUUUUUAUUUGCAGUGCAAAUAGGAAAGGACUUUUCAUCCAAAACCCUUCCAUUUUUGCAGAAGCAAGACAUUAUUUUCAGAGUAGGAAGGAUAAAGAAAAUGGAAUCUGCAUCUUCCUUUGAAGAAUCCAGCCCUAACUGCCAAGAAAAACAGAACAAAUAGAUUCUUGUGAGAGGAUAAGCACCUCUUCGAUCCAAGGAGCUUUAUCAUUUUUCAAAACUAGCACAUUUUUCAUAGUUUGCCACAGUGAUCUUCAAGUGGAUAAAUGGAUAUGGUCAGAAGCAAGUUAAUUCCCGUCUAGUCCCUUUUUUAAGGACAACAUACAUCCUUAAAGAGAAGUGCCAAAAGGCAAUGGUAGAUGAAGAUAAUAAAAGCACAGUCUGAAAAUGAAUGGAUUCAGAAACCAAUUAAAAUAAAGCAUGGCUUUAAAAGAUUUCUUAAAUUAUUCACAUGUCACAGUACUGGAAAAGCAAUGGUUUCUCUCAGCCAUUCCUUUGUAAAUGUUUUGUUUUUGUUUCCAGAAAUAACAGGUUUAAUUAAAUGUGCAAGAUUCACUCAAGUGAUCCAGACUAAUGCACACAGGGAUUUUGAAGUCACUUAGGAGAUUUUAGGAAGGAUUUUGAUUUGCCAGGCUCAGAUACUAAUGGAGAAAGCUGGCCUUCAGGGAAAGAGUGUGAGCACUGUGUAUGGCUCUGUUACUGCUGUCAAAGCCAGUUAUUACAUAAUUGGGAAAGAAUGGUUUUGAGAAUAGCAAACAUUAAGUAAACUGGAGAGGAAAUUAGCUUUAUUAAACUCCUUAUAUGUGUCAGAGUACUCUCACAUGCAUUAUUUUAAUUAAAUCUUAAAACAACCCAGAGGAAAUGGAUAUUAUUGCCCCAUUUUUAAGAUUCAUAAGCCAAGACUUUGAGGAAGCCAAGAAUAGCAGGGCAACCAAACCCAGGGCAUCUGUGGCAAAUCCAGCACCCUUUCCAUUACAUGGGUUUAUCCUCUGUGCUAAUGAAGAUGCAUGAUCAAUAAAUGCUGUCCCUGAUCAGGAGAUCAAGGUACCUUGUGAUGCACUAAAAAUAUUCUGCCCUUUUAAUCCAGAACAAUAAUAUCCUUGAAUAGCCCUGUUAGAACACAUUUAUCUGUUAAGGGUUAUAAGGUAAAAUCAAGCAUUCAACAGGAUUCAGAAGGAAUAGUCACAAAAUGUUGACAAGUGUGAUUUACUGAACUUGAAUACAAAUGCUAGUUUCAGGAACACAUAAUGUGACUUUAAGAAUUAUUUUCAUAUGAGAGGGAAAAAAGAUUGAGAGAUUUGCAAAUAAAUCAAGGCCACUGGAGCUGUGGCAAAACAUUGGUAUGUAUCUGUGAUUAGAAAUUUGAAAGCAAACUAAAUAAAAGUCUUAAGCUUUAAGAGGUAGAAAUGCAU
rnacentral:lncRNA from 1 species